rnacentral:rRNA from 14 species
AGUUACGGCCAUACCUCAGAGAAUAUACCGUAUCCCGUUCGAUCUGCGAAGUUAAGCUCUGAAGGGCGUCGUCAGUACUAUAGUGGGUGACCAUAUGGGAAUACGACGUGCUGUAGCUU